UGAUGCUACCACGGUAAUCUGCUCAGUACAAGAGGAACCACAGGUUCAGACAUUUGGUGUGUGUGCUUGGUUGAGGAGCCAAUGGGGUAAAGCCACUAUCUGUGGGAUUAUGACCCAACGCCCCUAAGUCAGAAUCCCACGGAAGGAUAUGGCAGGGCUGUGGGGCCUUGGUUGGCCUCGGAUAGCCGGUCCUCUGCUGUCCCUGCUGGCGGUCUGCCCUGCCCCAUGCGGGGCAUGUCCCAACGCGCGGCGGGAACUGAGGUCCGGUGCAGAGAGCCCCCCGUCCUGGGAAAUGGGCUGCUGCCAGAAAUGCGGUGAUCCCCUGACCCAUCACAUAACAGGUUUGUGGGGAAUCUGAUGCUAAACUAUUUGUAGACACCCUGCUUCUGGAUUAGGGUUUUCUAUGGAGCAGAGCAACUCCCUCGCUGUGAUCUAUUGAAAGUCAGACCUCCAAACAGGGGUCU
rnacentral:sRNA from 1 species